GACCCACAGAGGCAUGUGUUGUACAUCGUAGUAGAUCUAUCUCCAGUUGAUGAUUUCUGCUGCUAUCAGCUUCCAGAGAGAUAUCUGAAGACGUCCCUGGGUUCCUGCAUCAAACACAACUACAAGCAUCCCUACACAGGAGGGUGACAUGGACGAGGGCAGUGUGAGGAAGAGGAAGGACAUGUUUAAUGGAGGCCCCGCCCCCGACCCAACCUCCAAUAUGUCUGCCUCCCACUCCAAGCCUGCUGAGGAAGACGUGAAGGCUACCGUGCUACAGAAGGAUGUGGGCCUUUUGAGUGGGAUCUGUCUGAUCGUAGGAACCAUGAUCGGCUCCGGCAUCUUCAUCUCCCCUAAGGCAGUG